rnacentral:rRNA from 1 species
UACGGGGGGAGCAAGCGUUGUUCGGAUUUACUGGGCGUAAAGGGCGCGUAGGCGGCCACCGCAAGUCGACUGUGAAAUCUCCGGGCUUAACUCGGAAAGGUCAGCCGAUACUGCGGGGCUAGAGUGCAGAAGGGGCAACUGGAAUUCUCGGUGUAGCGGUGAAAUGCGUAGAUAUCGAGAGGAACACCUGCGGCGAAGGCGGGUUGCUGGGCUGACACGUGACGCUGAAGCGCGAAAGCUAGGGGAGCGAACGGG